rnacentral:rRNA from 1 species
UACGUAGGGUGCAAGCGUUGUCCGGAAUUAUUGGGCGUAAAGAGCUCGUAGGCGGUUUGUCGCGUCUGCUGUGAAAUCCCGAGGCUCAACCUCGGGUCUGCAGUGGGUACGGGCAGACUAGAGUGCGGUAGGGGAGAUUGGAACUCCUGGUGUAGCGGUGGAAUGCGCAGAUAUCAGGAAGAACACCGAUGGCGAAGGCAGAUCAUCU